rnacentral:rRNA from 1 species
CAGUUGAGCGCUGAGGUUGGUACUUGUACCGACUGGAUGAGCAGCGAACGGGUGAGUAACGCGUGGGGAAUCUGCCUUUGAGCGGGGGACAACAUUUGGAAACGAAUGCUAAUACCGCAUAAAAACUUUAAACACAAGUUUUAAGUUUGAAAGAUGCAAUUGCAUCACUCAAAGAUGAUCCCGCGUUGUAUUAGCUAGUUGGUGAGGUAAAGGCUCACCAAGGCGAUGAUACAUAGCCGACCUGAGAGGGUGAUCGGCCACAUUGGGACUGAGACACGGCCCAAACUCCUACGGGAGGCAGCAGUAGGGAAUCUUCGGCAAUGGACGAAAGUCUGACCGAGCAACGCCGCGUGAGUGAAGAAGGUUUUCGGAUCGUAAAACUCUGUUGGUAGAGAAGAACGUUGGUGAGAGUGGAAAGCUCAUCAAGUGACGGUAACUACCCAGAAAGGGACGGCUAACUACGUGCCAGCAGCCGCGGUAAUACGUAGGUCCCGAGCGUUGUCCGGAUUUAUUGGGCGUAAAGCGAGCGCAGGUGGUUUAUUAAGUCUGGUGUAAAAGGCAGUGGCUCAACCAUUGUAUGCAUUGGAAACUGGUAGACUUGAGUGCAGGAGAGGAGAGUGGAAUUCCAUGUGUAGCGGUGAAAUGCGUAGAUAUAUGGAGGAACACCGGUGGCGAAAGCGGCUCUCUGGCCUGUAACUGACACUGAGGCUCGAAAGCGUGGGGAGCAAACAGGAUUAGAUACCCUGGUAGUCCACGCCGUAAACGAUGAGUGCUAGAUGUAGGGAGCUAUAAGUUCUCUG